rnacentral:rRNA from 1 species
ACGAACCGUGCGAACGUUGUUCGGAAUCACUGGGCUUAAAGGGCGCGUAGGCGGCCGUCCGAGUCCGGGGUGAAAUCUUUCGGCCCAACCGGAAAAGGGCCUCGGAUACCGGGCGGCUCGAGGGGGGUAGGGGCACGCGGAACCUCCGGUGGAGCGGUGAAAUGCGUUGAUAUCGGAAGGAACGCCGGCGGCGAAAGCGGCGUGCUGGACCCCGCCUGACGCUGACGCGCGAAAGCCAGGGGAGCGAACGGGA